AUAUGAUGAGGGUAAUAUUGGGUACGUCAACCUAGUUGAGAUGCCCAGAUGCACCUCCUGAUCCAUGGUUACAUGCUCAUUGUAUAAUUAUCUUGUACUAUGAGCUUCUGUCUCAUUAUUAUUAUAUCAAUAAAGAGGCUGUCUCCUUUUCAAAAAAAGAACAAAGGAUAAUUUCUUUUUGGAACUUUCGAACUCUUGAGCUUCUUUUCCUUUUUCAAGCCAUGUAACAAUGAUGCACCAAUCGGUAACUUCUGAGAUGGCUCAAGUUUGUUUGCUUCUCUUGCUCUUGCAGCUUGCUUAAUAACAUUAUUCAAACUGACUUUGGAAGAUUUGGAGUCAGAAUUAGCCAUACUUAAUGACUGAUUUGAAGAGGACAGAGAAGAUGCUGAUUCCAAUGCAGGCAAUGCAGGGAGAGCUUUUAAUUUGCUGCUAGGAGAGAGAAUAAGGCCUGGCUGAAAAAAAGCUACAUCUGAGUUGUCUUCUUGGUGGGCUUUUGGAGGGAUUCCAACAGACUUGCUAAACUUAAUUUUCUUAUCCACGCCUUUACUUUUGGAAGAUAAAAGGUGCAUUGCACAGAAAUAACUUCCAUUUGCUCUUUCCUCUUUAAUGCCGUAUCUGUGUUCACAUUCUGAGGAUUAACUUCCAAUGAACUGGCCACCAAAUAAGGCUGAAGUGGAGGUUUUUCCAGGAAGCACAAAGCUGGAAACUUCCCUGGAAAUUUUCUUGGUAUGAAGACAAGCGGGUUUCUUGUGAAAUUUGACGAUUCUCAUGCAUCCUUAAUGAAACCCCAUUCUGGAUCAAUCUCAGGAGCUUCACCUUCUUCAUCCUUCAUAACUUGUAAAACUCUAAUCAAAUCAAUAGGAUUAAAAAAAUCCUUUAAGAGUAAAUCACCUUUGACUUUUGGAGAAGGACAAAGAACUUCAAUAUCACCAUAAUUUAGGAAAAAAGUUCCACGAUUUUCAUCUGCUAUUUCUAUCGUUGCUGGCAUAAAACCACAGAGGUUCCAUUUGAUUUGAAUUUUCGCUUCCACUACAUUGGUGUCAUUUAAAGUUUCAACUGAAAUAGCCUCUAAACCUUCAAAGUGAUCACCAAUGGCUUCAAAAGUCUUUCUGCACCAGUAGUCUAGAGGUAAAUUACGUAUAGUUAGCCAUCCCCCAUAACCACACACCACAUUUGGAAGGCUAUGCUUCAUCCUAUCCAAUUUCUCAAGCUAUAGAUGGAACUUACCAAAUGCUUGCCAAUUUCCAGAUUUCAGGCCACUUGUUAAACUCGAAAAGCCUUGAGACAACCCAAUGAUUGUCAAAAUCCUCCUUGACAACUGCCAAGCUUUUGAUUUUCCAGUGCUGGGACAAAAAUUUACCUUCAGGCUUCUUAACAGGCGAGGAGCAUCUUAUUUGGUUGAAGGUCAAGGCAGUACCCUGUUUCUUGGUAGGCAGAACAGAGCAACCCAUGGAAGAUUGACCAACACCUACAUUGUUUUGUUUUUCUCCUGAAAUCUUGGGCUUCUCCAUGAACUUUAUGCUACUCUGAUGCAGCAACCGGAUGUCCCGAAGAGACUCGGCAAAAACCUUCCAAUCCCUGGUGGCUUCACUUGAUGAUAAGUGCGGAAAAAUGCUGGCUGGAGAAAAGGAAUGGGGUUGCAGAUGAUGGGAAGGGCAGGGGAGGUCAGGCGACAAACGACUUUGACAACCAGAGAAGGAGCAGAGAUGAAGGGGAGACUAGGGAGAGGAGAAGAUGGAGGAAAGAGGAGAGAGAACAGAGAGAUCUUACCUUUUGCAUGUCUUGGAAUCUUUUGCGAAACUAAUUUGUUUGUAUAGUUAGAAACUUCCCUAUAAAUAGAGAAGUACUAUAUGUCAGCUGGAGGAAAUUGGGCCUUUAUAUGGAAUGUUGUAGUGUGAGCUUUGUUGUGGGGCAUUUGGUGUGAGAAAUAGUAGAAUCUUUGAGAACCUUUCCAUGUUUAGUCCCCAGCAAAUUUUGAUGUAAUGUUUCUCUAGGUCUAUGACGAGUUCUUUUUGUAAGUAUCUGUUAGGUCAUAUUUUUUAUGAUUGGAAA